rnacentral:rRNA from 1 species
UACGUAGGGUGCAAGCGUUGUCCGGAAUUAUUGGGCGUAAAGAGCUCGUAGGCGAUUCGUCGCGUCGGCUGUGAAAUCCCGGGGCUUAACCCCGGGCGUGCAGUGGAUACGGGCUGGCUGGAGGCAGGCAGGGGAGAACGGAAUUCCCGGUGUAGCGGUGAAAUGCGCAGAUAUCGGGAGGAACACCGGUGGCGAAGGCGGUUCUCUGGGCCUUACCUGACGCUGAGGAGCGAAAGCGUGGGGAGCAAACAGG